GUGGCUUUCUCAUUGCUGGCUUUUGCUGAAUCACUAUGGUUUACCCCAAGAGUGAGGUGAUAAGUAGAUAUUUUUUCAAUGAGUAUUAUCGUUAAGCCUUAGACUACAGCUCAGAUUCAUCGAAUAUGCUUGUGCGCUUUAUAAGCACUUCAUUGUGCUCUUUGGUGUCUUAAGGAGCCUUGGAUAUCUGCUUUCAGCUUCUUCUGCUUAAGCCACCGUGAGUCGUGUGACCGGAUACAGGAACAGUAGGCAUACAACUAGGAAUAAUGGGUGUUGUAUAAAGUUGUAAGACUUUCAGCUUAAAGCACCGCAAAUUCCAUAGCUCUGAAGAAAAAUGAUAUGACCGUAAACCGAGCAAGGAACGAAUAUUUGGAAAAGGUAUUUGCAUAGAAAAUGAUUGGGCUUUGACAUUGUAAGCUUUUGAUCUGUUCUCAAACUAGGUGCACAUAAUGCUAUGCUUAUUUGAAGGCAUCACAAUUGGUACUCUAAAGUCUGAGAGAGACUCUAUAGUUCCUUCGUCAAGCUUCCCAAGUUUAUUCCUUCUCCAAGUUAUUAGUUAUUUUCCUAUAUAUUAUCAUUUUAAGUUCCACUCUUUUU